rnacentral:tRNA from 1 species
ACCUCCAUGGCACAAUUGGUUAGCGCGUGAGACUUUUAAUCUCAAGGCUCGGGGUUCGAGUCCCCGUGGGGGUG